AUUAUAAAAGCUGAUGGGUUCAUACCUCAUAUAUAGAAGUUAUCUUCUCCCCUCUA
rnacentral:tRNA from 1 species